GAAAUUAAGAGCUAGAUGCAAAGGAGGAAAUACUUUUACUGUGGAUUUUCAAAAAGGAUUCCCCAUGCCAAUUCCUCUUUCUUCUAAAUGUUAAAUGAUGAAUU
rnacentral:lncRNA from 12 species